UACCAACAGUGUUACAGAUGGUAUCAAUCCAAGCUAGAUUCGACCAGCCAUUAAGGCUACUUCCACGUGGCGUUGGGUGGGAGAAAGAAACUCAAGAAAAAAAAACGUCGACAGUUACUGCAGAAGGACCUUAAAAGGCAUGUAUAUCUAAUAACUUCGUUAGUACAUAGAACCAAUCAAGAACCAAUUUGUAAUGAAGGGAAUUAAAAGAAAAUUAAAGAAAAUAAUGCAUAAUGACUAUUCACAUGUGAGAACUGGAAACAGUAAAGGAAAACAAAAAUCAAAACUUCAAAACACAACCUCAUUUGGGGCGAAACGUAUCGCCACCACACAAACUUAAUACCCAAAUCGAAAUAUUACCAAAUCAACUCGUUUCGAAGCUGUAGGUCGGAGUUGGGCGCCGCCGAAUCGAGUUAUAAUCGUGCUUCGUUGUCAGAGCGGAUCGUGGUCGCAAAUGCCGAUAAGCAAGGAAUUAUUAUUGAUGAGCGGAAAGCAUUUUCGUUUGGGAGUUUUCGGGAGUCUCACGGCGGGUUGGAGGUUGUGAAGGUGAUGGGGUAGUGACGGCGGAAUGUUUAUGAGGGGUUGUGUCGUUAGCGGUGGUGAGUGGCUGAUGGUCGAUUGAAGAAGAAAAAGGAGAUGGUGAUGGUUCUGUGUGUGGGAAGUAGAUCGGAGGGUUUGGACAGACGGGGUAUGGUUGAAGUGGGAUUUCGGCAGGGUAACGGUAUAUUUCUUUGACAAAUGCUUCGGGUUGGGGUCUAUAACUCAGCCUUUCUCAAACCCUGAUGAUAAGUUUGAGAGGCUUAUCCGUAAACGAGCUUUAGAGUUAGGUGGUGAGGGAGUAUUUUAGCAGAAUAACGUUAGGUUUCUUCUCCCUCCCUUUUUUCAGAAAUGGAUAUUCCUUAUAUAGAGCUCUGGAGUACCAAGUCUCUCACCUGUGAGCUGGCCAAAAUCCAAGAAUUUCCGUUAGAAUAAAAUCUCAUCUAGAUUUGGUGUGGUCCCUAAUUCGAUGCAGGUGGCAAGGCAAGUUUGUUGGUAGUGAAAUCUCUCCAUGAUGCGUGGCCCCUUUCUUGAAUUUCUCUUGGAUUAUUACUGCUGUAAGACAGGUGUUCUUCUGAUUUUUGUUGACGUGAGGAUUUAAUAUAUUUAGGUUUGGAUUGCUGCAUUGAUUCUUGCUGCUUGGAGGGUGUACCUGCUUCAAGUUUCACCUUGAAUAACAGUGCAGUUUUGGUUUGUUUUGGAUGUUUCAUGUGAAACAAUCACCUAACUGAUGAAGAAUGCAACAAUGAUUACGACUUGCUUGAAAUCAGAUCUAACCGUGAAAACUGGAUAUGAUUGUGGACAUUGAGGUAAAUGCCAGAGCAUGACUGGUGAAGAGGGUGUGUCAACUCGGGUGUAGCUGGCCUAAAUCAGUUCUGAUUACUUUGGCUUUUUGGUGUAAUAAGGUUCAGUUUCUUUUACCUGCAUUUAUGUACUAUUUAGUGACUGUUUGCUUCGGUGAUGUAGAGUCAAUUCUUCUUUCUUUUGGUGCCGGACAGAACAGGGUAUCUUGACUGGCUUGUGGGUCUAAUUCCUCGAAACAAAACCGCGGGGCAUGCUGUUGGCUUGUGGACUUCACUUCAGGUUUUUAGGUUGCUUAAGAUUUGUACUGACUUGUGUGACUCGUGCUGGCACAAUACUACUUGAGGCCUCUUUUCAACCAAAAUUUCCGCCUUUAGGAAAUAACCGUACCCUCCAGUCAAAGGAAAUGACAAGGAAAUGAUGGUGUAGUAGAUGAAACAGAUUUUUGCUGAGAUGGACUUCGUGAUUGACCUUAGGUGUGGUUUUGUAUGUGUUAUCAUGAUGCUUAGGACACGGGAUUUACAUUGUGGAAUGCCAUGGCAUGCUGCAAGUAUAAUGCACUUGGCUUGGAUGAUGAUGCAGGCUGGAGACUAUUGAAGAUGUCCCUUGUGGUAAGAGUUGCUUUGGCUGGUUUAGAUCAAUUUAUCACCAAAAAUGCCGCUUUGACAAAUGCGAAAGAAGUCGAUGCACACCCUAUUCGUGUUAUGAAGUUUUCCGUUGCCUGCUGUGCGUGCUGCUGUUUUUUUUAAUUGUGCAAGUGGCAGUAUGCGUGCGGCUCGUAACCUUUGGGAGAAAAUAGCACAAGGAGUUUGUUGCGGUCAAUAUACCCGCUGUUUCCGGCUUGACAUGAAGUUAUGUAUUUGGAUCAUAGGCUAGGAUUUUCCCUUUGGCAAUUUGCAAACAGUUGUAACUCUUAUUUGUAACACAUAAACGUAUGGACGUGUAUGUAUUAUUCUUCAAAUUUGUGCAUUCCUAUAUGCUUGAAUUUUAGCAGUAAACAUGAUGUUCAUUGUGGGUAAACACGCCUGAGCUGGCUUUGUAGAUAUAGUAUGAACGAGAUCUGUGUAUUGGUUCACAAAGGUUCCUGGAAUGUAAUUUUGGCUUUUGAAAUGAACAUGGUUUAUAUUAA